UGCAAGUCGUACGAGGGCUUUUAGCCCUAGUGGCGGACGGGUGAGUAACACGUGAGAAUCUGCCCUUAGGAGGAGGAUAACAGCUGGAAACGGUUGCUAAUACUCCAUAUGCCGAGAGGUGAAAGGAAUUUCUGCCUAAGGAGGAGCUCGCGUCUGAUUAGCUAGUUGGUAGGGUAAAGGCCUACCAAGGCGACGAUCAGUAGCUGGUUUGAGAGGAUGAUCAGCCACACUGGGACUGAGACACGGCCCAGACUCCUACGGGAGGCAGCAGUAGGGAAUUUUCCGCAAUGGGCGAAAGCCUGACGGAGCAAUACCGCGUGAGGGAUGACGGCCUGUGGGUUGUAAACCUCUUUUCUCAAGGAAGAAGUUCUGACGGUACUUGAGGAAUAAGCAUCGGCUAACUCUGUGCCAGCGGCCGCGGUAAUACAGAGGAUGCAAGCGUUAUCCGGAAUCACUGGGCAUAAAGCGUCUGUAGGUGGUUUGGUAAGUCUGCUGUUAAAGACUGGGGCUCAACCCCAGAAAAGCAGUGGAAACUGCCAGACUUGAGUGUGGUAGAGGUAAAGGGAAUUCCUAGUGUAGCGGUGAAAUGCGUAGAUAUUAGGAAGAACACCAAUGGCGAAGGCACUUUACUGGGCCAUAACUGACACUGAGAGACGACAGCUAGGGGAGCAAAUGGGAUUAGAUACCCCAGUAGUCCUAG
rnacentral:rRNA from 1 species